rnacentral:rRNA from 1 species
UACGAAGGUCCCGAGCGUUGUUCGGAAUCACUGGGCGUAAAGGGAGCGUAGGCGGCGUGGUAAGUCAGAUGUGAAAUCCCGGGGCUCAACCCCGGAACUGCAUCCGAUACUGCCAUGCUAGAGUGAUGGAGAGGUAGCUGGAAUUCUUGGUGUAGCAGUGAAAUGCGUAGAGAUCGGGAGGAACAUCCGUGGCGAAGGCGACUACCUGGACCAGCACUGACACUGAGGCACGAAAGCGUGGGGAGCAAACAGG